GCCAGGCAUGGUGGUGCGUACCUGUGGUCCCAGCUACUCGGGAGGCUGAGGCAGGAGGAUUGCUUGAGCCCAGGAGGUCAAGUCUGCAGUGAGUUAUGAUUGCGCCACUGCACUCCAGCCUGGGCAACAGAGCAAGAUCCUGUCUCAA
ensembl:misc_RNA Metazoa_SRP Metazoan signal recognition particle RNA